AACAAUCAUCUUAAUUAAAUUUUAAUUUCAAUCUUCUUUCUGAUGCUGUGACCUAACUUGAUUUGUGAUGAAUUGAUGAUAACAAGCCUGCAGCAAUCACUUGCUGUUCUUAACUUUUUAACCCAAGCCCAAAUUCUUCCUACACUUUUCCAUCUGGAUACUAAUAUCACUCAAGUUGGUUUGCUAUAUUAGCUAACUUUAUUUUGUUUCUAAACCUUACAAUACCACUUUGUAGUUACUCUUCCUUUCUUAUACCCCUCAUGAAUGACUCAAUACAAGAAUUAUUCUGGUUGCAAACAUUAUUCAGAUAAGCAAUACGGCAAUACCAUAUACAAAAUUUCAGAAAAGGUCCCCAGCCAAAUCAGGCAUCAAAUAAAUACGAAAAAUAUGAGGUUUAGGAGAAUUAGCCAAAUUUAAGCUUCAUCAGCUACAAGUGAGCAACCAUCAAACUUAACUUGAUGAAUCUAAAAAAUUACUUUCUACACUAUUGUACAUCAACAAAUACUAAGAUAAACCGCAUGUAUAAACAUCACACAAAUAAAUAAUGUAGACAAGGUCUAUAUAUUUGGAUUUAAUUUCACCUAUAUUCAGGGAAAAUCAAGAACAAAAAUUCCAUUUUAGUUAUGUUUGAAAAAUCAAAGCAUUCUCAGUUUCCCCUUGGCUAUAGAAUCCUUAACAAGCUCCAUGUGGCAUGAAGCUUUCUGUGCCCCAGUCAACCCAGAACAAGAGCCAUUGGACCCUAUAGUGACAGCAAAAUAGAGAUAAACAAAACAGAGGAUGGUCAGGAGAACAAGAGUGGAUAAGAGGAAGCGAUGCCUCUGGACCAGUGUGGACCAAUUACCCAGUUCAACCUUUGCAAACUGCCUCUUGAAAGAUGGAGACCUCAACCGAGGAGAAGACAGAAUGGUGUCAAGAACCAUGGCUUCUACAACAACUUUCUUCACCCCGCCUGAAGCUGCACAACACAAGCAAAGUUAGUCAUUCUAUGAAAAAUGUUACAUAAGGCAUAAAUUGUGACAUAACAAGCUCGCAAUCCCACCCUUCUCUCCCAUUGUAUAAACAAUCAUGCACACAUAUGGGGGUCAUGUUUGAAAAUGCACUUGGUGGAAUCCAUAAUUAAUAGUAAAGGGUUUUGCAAGUAGGUCCACAAGUGACAUGCCUGCCAUGCUUUUAUGGUGUAAUGUUAUGUUUAGGGUCUACCUCGCAUUCUGUUAGGAGCAAAAAGAACAAGCAUGCCAAUCACCAAUAGUUUCACUCAAGAAAACUAAAUUAACUGAAAAACAAAAAGAGUUACCUUGUUAACCAUGAAGAUUUCGUCCUCAAUAUUCACUUCAAGGACGUUUCAAGCUCUCAUUGUUCCUAAAUUAACUAGUAUAUUAUGUAUAUAUAUCAAAAAAGCAUUUGAAGACUAGGAAGUUUGUGGGGCAUGAAAAAGCUGUGUAAAAUGUAAAUCAUGAAAGACCAAUUAGAAAAGGGAAGUUUAUGAGAACAUGUGUGUAAAGGAUUGUCAGCUACAAGGGAAGAAUAUUGAUGUGAAUAGAAAAGGUGUUGUUUUUGGCUUAGUCAAAAAAGAGCUAAGAGGAUGACACAAUAACUAUUCAUAUAGUAAAACAUCUAAAAUUUUCAAUUGCAUUUUAAAACUUGGCACUUGCCUUUUUCCGUUACUCAUGCCGCCAAUUUUUGAUGUUUGCUUGCUUGCUUUACCAAUUCAGUGGAUCCAUCCCAUUGUAAAGGAAUGGGAAAAUGAACAAAAUUUUGCUUUCCGGGGAAAAUUUAAUCUCAAAUUCCACAGGCCGUUAUCCGUGACCAACUAACAUUGACUUAAUUAGUGAAAGAGAUGAGAUGACAACUCCCUACACAGUGAAAUAGUGAAUGAAAUUUCAUUCAAAUUCCAUAAUAAUAAAAUUAAAUAAUAACUAAACGCGUGCCUUAACUACUUGAUUCCAUUUCCUUAUUCUCAUCACUGCCAUUGCAAUCACACCUACAAGAACUAGCAGCAUCAUUGUCACCGCCAAUAUGGUUUAUUUAGUAUUAUUGAGGCAGCAACUAACAUUACCAUGACGUGAACACAAUGUUCGGGAUGAUCUUGCUAUUAUUAAACUAUGUAUUUAUUUACUUAUUAAUUGGUAAGUCCACAUAGAAGAAGUGUUUAUCUGUUAAUCAUUCUUGAUUCUCCAUCACGAUUUUGUCGUCAUUUCCUUUUUCUUUCAAAAAUCAAAACUAUACCACAUAACUGUACCUGCAUUGAGGACGACCUAAAUUAAGGUGUACGCCUUGGCGCUAUCUAAAAAAUACAGAUUGAUAAAAGAUUAAGGUUAAUGUCAAUUUUCAACCACUUUCGUGAAUCAAUGAAAUCGUGAUUAAAGCAAUGAUUGAGAAUAGUGACAAAGGAAUGAUUUGACAUUAUUUUCUAAUGUCAUUAUUAGGAAAAUCCUAAUUCUUACGGGAAUGAAAUGCAAGAAUGUACUUCAAGUGUUACUCAAGUAAGAAAAGUAGGAAUGCACACUUCUUUUACUUAUUUGUUAUUGUAUGGGAUACAAGUUUUCUUCUCUACAAUUUAGAAAAUUGUAACCAAUCAUGAUAGUUCACAUGGUUUCGAUCAGGAAACAAUGUGAUAUAAGCAUUAGUGUUUCGUCAAACAUCAGUUUAUGUAACUCACACGAACCACUUCGUGGAUUACAUCAUUCUUGUAACAAAUAGCACUCUUUGGUAAUGUUUAGUAUAAUAGUCACUUUGUUCCCUAUUUAUAACGCUUUUUUUUUAUACAUUGGAAAAUAUUUAUAAGGCUCUCUUAAAACAACUUAUAAGAAUUAAAAUAGGGUGGAAUGAAAAGACAGGUACUCUAAGACGUAGUGGAGAAGUAUUUUGACCUAACAUGAUCCUUAGGUUUAUUAAGCGAACAAUAACCUAAUAGAAUACAAGAACGGAACCUAUGUCAGUAUGAGCAUCAUUUUUCAUUUUCUUUUGUCUCCUCAUAUAUCUUUACAGGCAUUACAAAGACUAACUCAUUUCCAUUCUAAGACCUUGUUAACAAUCAUCUUAAUUAAAUUUUAAUUUCAAUCUUCUUUCUGAUGCUGUGACCUAACUUGAUUUGUGAUGAAUUGAUGAUAACAAGCCUGCAGCAAUCACUUGCUGUUCUUAACUUUUUAACCCAAGCCCAAAUUCUUCCUACACUUUUCCAUCUGGAUACUAAUAUCACUCAAGUUGGUUUGCUAUAUUAGCUAACUUUAUUUUGUUUCUAAACCUUACAAUACCACUUUGUAGUUACUCUUCCUUUCUUAUACCCCUCAUGAAUGACUCAAUACAAGAAUUAUUCUGGUUGCAAACAUUAUUCAGAUAAGCAAUACGGCAAUACCAUAUACAAAAUUUCAGAAAAGGUCCCCAGCCAAAUCAGGCAUCAAAUAAAUACGAAAAAUAUGAGGUUUAGGAGAAUUAGCCAAAUUUAAGCUUCAUCAGCUACAAGUGAGCAACCAUCAAACUUAACUUGAUGAAUCUAAAAAAUUACUUUCUACACUAUUGUACAUCAACAAAUACUAAGAUAAACCGCAUGUAUAAACAUCACACAAAUAAAUAAUGUAGACAAGGUCUAUAUAUUUGGAUUUAAUUUCACCUAUAUUCAGGGAAAAUCAAGAACAAAAAUUCCAUUUUAGUUAUGUUUGAAAAAUCAAAGCAUUCUCAGUUUCCCCUUGGCUAUAGAAUCCUUAACAAGCUCCAUGUGGCAUGAAGCUUUCUG
rnacentral:lncRNA from 1 species